rfam:Triticum urartu cultivar G1812 contig284280, whole genome shotgun sequence.
CAAUUACUCCCUCCGUCCCAAAAUUCUUGUCUUAGAUUUGUCUAAAUACGGAUGUAUCAAGUCACGUUUUAGUAUUAGAUACAUCCGUAUCUAGACAAAUCUAACACAAGAAUUUUGGGACGGAGGGAGUACUAA